rnacentral:tRNA from 2 species
GACGGUAUAGUUUAAUUGGUGAAAAUACAAUUCUGCUAAGGUUGCGAUGGUGGUUCGAGUCCGUCUACUGUCA